UACGUAGGGGGCUAGCGUUGUCCGGAUUUAUUGGGCGUAAAGCGCGUGUAGGCGGCCAGGUAGGUCCGCUGUGAAAACUCGAGGCUCAACCUCGAGAUGUCGGCGGAAACCAUCUGGCUAGAGUCCGGAAGAGGAGAGUGGAAUUCCCGGUGUAGCGGUGAAAUGCGCAGAUAUCGGGAAGAACACCCGUGGCGAAGGCGGGUCUCUGGACAGUUCCUGACGCUGAGGCACGAAGGCCAGGGGAGCAAACGGG
rnacentral:rRNA from 1 species